CAAAGCAUGGAUUUUUCACAUUAUAAAGUGCUCAAAUAAUUUUAUUUUUACAUUCAAAGGAAAUAAAAUAUGUUUAAGGUUUUAAAUAUUGUUUAUGCUAUGAUCAUUUUUCUUUCCAUAUCUUUUUCUAUAACAAACUCUUUUAAGAUGUUCUGCCGUUAUGAUGAGGACUGUCCACCUAGAAUGUGUAGACUUCCUCAAGUUCCUCAAUGCAAUGAGUUUAUUUGUGACUGUGGGAUGCCUGUCUAUAAACCUUACCAAAACAAAUAUAUUAAAAAAUAAUACUAUGUUAUUUUUAUGUGUAUCUCUUUAAUAACAUGUAAAUGAUCGUGCAUUUAAGAUUCUUUACCACCCAUAUUUUUUUUUUUGUUUGUUAAAAGGGAUGAUUGUAAACUGCUUUCCCAUAUUUAUGGCAUAAGAGAGACGAACAAACUUUUCUCCUAUAUAUAGAGAUAUACAUAUAUACAUAUAUAAGGAGGAAUCAAAUAAUGCAUUGGUUUGUAAGUGUGUGGUUGGUUCUGCGGUGAGUGGAAUUGAUUUUGAUAGAAUUGAGUUUGAGUGAA